UUGUGGAGAAACUUUGUCUCCAAGCUCCAGUCAACAUUCCCAACUGGAUAGGACAGUUUUAUGUGGAAAGGUACAAUACUUAAGAGCCAAAUUGUGUGGGGUUUUAAAAAUCAGAAACUCUUUUUGAAUUGUACAUAGGCCAUUGCAAUGUCUGGAAUGUAGAUAACAUGUGGCUGAAACGGUCUCAUCUGCCAUAUGGGAGGAGCUACAUUUUGUAUUAUUUACAGUUUUGUCUUCAAAGGGAACUCUAAGAAGGGCACGUUUCAUGCAUACGGGAGAAAAUGGAGGUAGUACUGCAUUUCCACAGAAUGAACUGCAGAUUGCAGUUAUUGUCAAAUAAAGAGAAAUUGUGGGAUAUGACACAGACUCACGAAAAAAACUGGCCUGGUUCAUAUACUAACCUAUAAUAAUCUCCAGCCAACAAAGAAGCAGAAAUGGAAGGAAAAGUAUAAUAUCCUUCAGUUACUUUCUACUGGAAGGAAGGACAUGAAAUACCCCGGCACCUCCAGAGUCAGAGAUGGAUGAGCAGAAGAACAUGGGGAAGGAAACUUGUAAACCAGCAUUUCUCCAUCUUAGUGUAACUCUUACAUAAAUAUUGAUUAGGCAUAGCUAAUUUCUGAUGAUUCAAAAAAUGAAAAGGAAAUUUUAAGAACAGAAUUUAAAACUGGGAGACUUGAAUUCAGUGUUCUGAAAUAAUAGAUCUCUUGUGCAUGUGUAGCUAUUAUCCUGCCUGCAAUUUAUCUAACUGAUCAUGACUACGCAAUUAUUUAAUGUUUAAGUUAAUUGUUUAUUGGGUUAAGUUGUAUUAUCAGUAUCAUAUAAACCAAGGGUGGGUUUCAAAUUUUUUUACUACCGGUUCUGUGGGUGUGGCUUGAUGGGCGUGGCAUGGCUUGGUGGGCAUGGCAUGGCAUGACUUGCUGGGCGUGGCAGGGGAAGGAUACUGUAAAAUCUCCAUUCCCUCCCCAAUCCAGGGAAAGGUUACUGCAAAAUCCUCAUUUCCUCCUGAUCAGCUGGGCAGAGAACAGAUGGGGGCAGGGCCGGUCAGAAUUUUUACUACCGGUUCUCUGAACUACUCAAAAUUUCCACUACCGAUUCUCCAAAACUUGUCAGAACCUGCUGAAACCCACCUCUGAUACAAACUCUCUUGCAUAUUGUUUAGUUUCUUAACCAAUAGCACAGCAUCAUCUGCAUACAAAAUGUAUCUACAUUCACAUCCUCCCAAAAAAAAAAACAUUUCUAAUGUCACCACAAACAUUCCUUAAACAUUUAUCUAACCAAGAACCAAAUUUCGCAAGCCCAUUUUCUCAGUAUUGGACCAUUUGUUAAGCAUUUAUGUUUAUUCUCACAAAUGAUUUACAUCAUAUCUACUCUUAUAUCAUUGAACAACAAACGUUUAACUCCAUAUUUAAACAAAGUGUUUCAUAAUUUAAACAUUCACUUUAUCAUAUACUUUUUCUAUAUUAAUAAAUGUAUAAGACUCUUUCUGAUAUUUAUAUGUUUACUAAAGACACACUGAAUAGCAAAUAUAAUAUCUAAUCUGCAAAACACUGACUAGCAUAAAGCUAUUCUGCAUUUCCCAAAUAUUGCCCAUUACCAAAAGUCCAACGUCUUCCUUUUUUUGUAUAGGGCAAGGGUCUGUAAACUUGGCUCUUUUAAGCCAAGUUUGCAAACUCCUGGUAUAGGGAAACACUAACAGCAUUCUGUCACACACAGAUACAUUGUUCACAUACAUGUUAAAUACAUUACAAAUUCCAUAAACAAAUAAUAUUUUAACAUUUCUCCAGUUGCACAAUUUAUUCCUACAGUUUUAACGUUUUUCAAUAUUCUCAGAACAUUUAUGACUGUCUUUUUAUCUUUGGACGAGCGUUUACAACAUUCAUUUCAAUCAUCAAUCCCACAGAAAUCUUUAGAAAUUCAGCAUUUCUUCAUUUCAGUUUCCAACUUUCUUUCACUCCACAUUAUUACAUAACAUACUUUUAAUUGUGUUGACUCCUAGAAAUCCUUGUUCAGCCUUACCUUCUUCAAGUAUCUUCCAGAUGGGUGGGCUUUAAUCUCAGAUUUUAUAGCAAUAGGCAUGGAUAUUCAAUUGUUUGAAAUGUACUCAGGGGGUGGUUGAUCUAAAUCCUUCAAUAUUUUUGCCACAUUAAUUGUAGUACAUGUAGUCCUUGAUUUACAAGCACAGUUGAAGCCAAAAUUUAUGUUGCUAAGUGAGAAAUGUUAAGUGAGUUUUGCCCCAUUUUACAAUUUAUCUUGCCACAUUUCUUAAGUGAAUAACUGCACUUGUUAAAUUAGUAACACGGUUGUUAGUAAGUCAGGUUUCCCCAUUGACUUCCCUUGUCAGAAGGUCCCAAAAGGUGAUCACAUGACCCCAGGAUACAGCAACUGUCAUAAAUACGAAUUAGUUGCUAAGCAUCUGAAUUUUGAUCAUGUGAUCAUGGGGAGGCUACAAUGGUCAUUAGUGUGAAAAAAGGGUCAUGAGUCACUUUUUUCAGCGAUGUUUUAACUUCAAACGGUCACUAGAUGAACUGUUGUAAGUUGAUUAUGCAUUUUCCCCUUCAUCCAUUACCCCCUUUAUUCUUUUAUCAUUCAGCAGAUCAUUCUUCUUCAUAUCUCCCUUUGUGAAAAUCAACACAAUUCUGUGGUGCUCUGUAACAGGGUUUCCAACCUUGGCAAC